rnacentral:rRNA from 1 species
GACGAACGCUGGCGGCGUGCUUAACACAUGCAAGUCGAACGGAAAGGCCCUGCUUUUGUGGGGUGCUCGAGUGGCGAACGGGUGAGUAACACGUGAGUAACCUGCCCUUGACUUUGGGAUAACUUCAGUAAACUGGGGCUAAUACCGGAUAGGAGCUCCUGCUGCAUGGUGGGGGUUGGAAAGUUUCGGCGGUUUGGGAUGGACUCGCGGCUUAUCAGCUUGUUGGUGGGGUAGUGGCUUACCAAGGCUUUGACGGGUAGCCGGCCUGAGAGGGUGACCGGACACAUUGGGACUGAGAUACGGCCCAGACUCAUACGGGAGGCAGCAGUGGGGAAUAUUGCACAAUGGGCGGAAGCCUGAUGCAGAAACGCCGCGUGCGGGAUGACGGCCUUCGGGUUGUAAACCGCUUUCGCCUGUGACGAAGCGUGAGUGACGGUAAUGGGUAAAGAAGCACCGGCUAACUACGUG